GCCUGGAUGGUGGAAUUGGUAGACACGAGGGACUCAAAAUCCCUUUUCUUCGGAAGUGAGGGUUCGAUUCCCUUUCCAGGUACCA
rnacentral:tRNA from 1 species